CUUGCUUGCUUAAUGAAUAAGCCCGUACUAAGCACUAAGGCAAGUGUACACGCUCGUAAAGGCCUUAUAAGAAAAAACAGAAAUUAAUUGUGAAAGUUACUUAAUUUAAGCUCAGGAAUGCACCCUUGAAAUUAACGGAAAUCAAUAAAAACACAGUGUAUAAUAAUGCCUUUUCACAAAGUUCAAAUAUGAAAAAAAAGGGUUACCAAGGCGAGACGAAAAACGAAUGUGACGAACUCGGAAUGCGAACAAAAACAAAAGAGACUAAUUACAGAUGGGUACAGAACCGAACCGAACCUGUCAAAUUGUUUUCGGCGAAAACGUCAACGACAUGAAAAACGAAACCGAAAAUGAGACUAAAGAAGACCAUGAUGAAAAACAGAUCCUUCCGGCUGUUUGGCAACCAAGUUUCGCAACCAGUUGUUAAAAAAAACAUACUUUUACGCAACUAGUUGCCCAAAAAGAAAAUCUAUUCCUGUUCCAAAACUAGCGUAGUUUUGUAACCAGUUGACAAAAAAGAAAUAUGGUACAUUUCGAUGCUAGUGCGGAAAGUAUGUCAUUACUUCACGAGUACCGAGAUAUCUUGCAAGCAAGACUAGGGACGAGUGAAGAAUGACAUUUCCGCACGUGUAUCGAACGACGUUUUUUAUACAGUUGCGAAAAAAUAAGAAAAACAAGUAAUUUUUUAAUGCAUGUUCUAAACAAUUAAACAGAAACAAUUGUAAAUAUAUAAUAUUAUACUACUCGUAUUAUUACCUAAGUAUCGUUAUUUACGAUUAUUUGUGUAUCGUACAUUUAAAUUGUUUGAAAACAAUAUCGAAUGUUAAUAAUAGUAUAAUAUUUUAUAUUUACAAUUAUUGUUUCUGUCUUAUAGAACAUGCAUAAAAAAGUACUUGUUGUUUUUCUUAUUUUUUCGCAACUGUAUUAAAAAACGUCGUUCGCUACACGUGCGGAAAUGUCAUUAUUUCUGCACUAGCAUCGAAAUGUACUAUUGUUUACAACUUGUUAAUAAUAAGACUCAGAGCGUUCUGUAGAUAAUCAUUAUGUCUACUUCUGAAUAAAAAAAUACAAUUUCAAAAAUGACAUAAAACGUUCGGUGACCCUCAUUAUACUCGUAAAUGGUGGUCGGACCAAAAACCAGAUGUAACUAAAAGUUUUAUGGCGCCAUGGCUUAUAUAUCUCUAUAACUAUAAUUAAUACCUAGAUGUAUAUUUUAAUAACAGUGUAUAGAAGAAAGUAGCCAUUAUUGCUUGUGCAGCGGACAUAGAUGGCGCUGAUUCUGCGCUAGAAACGACUCAUUCGGAGUUAAAACGACAUCUAUUUACAGUCUUAUUUU